CCAGCCCUGCAUCCGUCAUCUCACCCAUAGGGUCAAAAGCUUUAGCGCCUCUGGUAAAGUUCAGCUGAGCAGGAGAAAGAUGUAUCUGGAUUUGUCUGUGCAAAGGAGACGAUAGGUCCUGACAUUGAGGGACCAUACCCUAUCAUGCAGGUACACUCCAAACACAGAAGCAUGCUAGUGAGGAUGCUGUGGGCUCACCUCCACCUAAGUUUGCACCCCUGGUCCCAGUGUGCCUGAGAGGGACUGCUUGGGACUAGCCUGGAGCAGUCUUCUUGGUGAACUGGGUUUUGGGCGCGUCAUCGGUUAAGUCCAUAGUGGGUAGGAACUUGCUGCCACUGUGGUAUAGAAAAGCUCUCUGGGGCUGCUGCAGCUGUGGAACAAGCUCUUUCUGGAUGUAGAAACCUCAUCACUUUCUGUUCAAAGAGCAAAUUACAGCUCUCGGGUUUAUUUGUUUUGUCAUGUUGCCCCAUCUAAUCUGUCUUUGGCCUAGAGCCAUUUCUCUCUUCUGCCUAUAUCCUUCAUUAAAACUUAAUUUCUUUCUUUACUUGUCAUUUUCCCUUAUUUUUACAUGUCUUGUUACCUCUAACAAAGUUUGUAAAUUUCUCAUGGCAGGGAACGUGUCUCUCACUGUUUCUAAAGUACAGCACCAAGGUAUUCUAUGCUAUAGAAGUUAUUGUUAAUUGUAAGCAGCCCAGUGAUUGGGCUGGGAAUACCAAUCAGGCCAUGCACUCAUGUUGCAAUGCGUAUUGUUCUUUAGUAAUUCUAAUUCUGAAUGAUUGAAGGAACAAGCCUUUUAUUGGUCUGAGACCAGUGCUUGCAUAUUAUAUUGUCCAGUAAGAAGAAUAAUUGCUUUGAUGUGUACUUUGAAGCUGAGGGAGAGUGAACAAGAAAAAAUGGUUGGGAUGCAGACAUCAGGGGCAGAGUCAGUGUUAACCCUCUCACAAACACUGGUUGAAGCAGUAAUUUGGCCGAAGAGCCAGUGAGCUGGCUUCAGGUGAGUGAGUGAGCUUCUGCAUGCAAUCUGUAGUAUCUUAAUGAGGCUUGUGGUUUGGAAACAACUCUUUAUUAUUCACAUGAACUUACUUAAAGGACUGUUUACAGCCUGGCCUUGC